rnacentral:rRNA from 1 species
UACAGAGGUCUCAAGCGUUGUUCGGAUUCAUUGGGCGUAAAGGGUGCGUAGGCGGCGCGGUAAGUCGGGUGUGAAAUCUCGGAGCUUAACUCCGAAACUGCAUUCGAUACUGCCGUGCUUGAGGACUGGAGAGGAGACUGGAAUUUACGGUGUAGCGGUGAAAUGCGCAGAUAUCAGGAGGAACACCGGUGGCGAAGGCGGGUCUCUGGACCGUAACUGACGCUGAGACACGAAAGCGUGGGUAGCAAACAGG